GACGAACGCUGGCGGCGUGCCUAAUACAUGCAAGUAGAACGCUGAAGAGAGGAGCUUGCUCUUCUUGGAUGAGUUGCGAACGGGUGAGUAACGCGUAGGUAACCUGCCUUGUAGCGGGGGAUAACUAUUGGAAACGAUAGCUAAUACCGCAUAACAAUGGAUGACACCUGUCAUUUAUUUGAAAGGGGCAAUUGCUCCACUACCAGAUGGACCUGCGUUGUAUUAGCUAGUAGGUGAGGAAAUGGCUCACCUAGGCGACGAUACAUAGCCGACCUGAGAGGGUGAUCGGCCACACCGGGACUGAGACACGGCCCAGACUCCUACGGGAGGCAGCAGUAGGGAAUCUUCGGCAAUGGGGGCAACCCUGACCGAGCAACGCCGCGUGAGUGAAGAAGGGUGUCGGAUCGUAAAGUUCUGUUGUAAGUCAAGAACGGGUGUGAGAGUGGAAAGUUCACAAUGUGACGGUAGCUUACCAGAAAGAGACGGCUAACUACGUG
rnacentral:rRNA from 1 species